UUUCUAGUAUUAGUAUGACUCAGGCAAUGUUUGGUACAUAUUUGUACUAAAA
rnacentral:miRNA from 1 species